rnacentral:rRNA from 1 species
GCAAUGCCGCGUGAGUGAAGAAGGCCUUCGGGUUGUAAAGCUCUUUUGUCAGGGAAGAAAAGGCUACGGAUAAUACCUGUGGCUCAUGACGGUACCUGAAGAAUAAGCACCGGCUAACUACGUGCCAGCAGCCGCGGUAAUACGUAGGGUGCAAGCGUUAAUCGGAAUUACUGGGCGUAAAGCGUGCGCAGGCGGUUUUGUAAGACUGUCGUGAAAUCCCCGGGCUCAACCUGGGAAUGGCGAUGGUGACUGCAAGGCUAGAGUUUGGCAGAGGGGGGUAGAAUUCCACGUGUAGCAGUGAAAUGCGUAGAUAUGUGGAGGAACACCGAUGGCGAAGGCAGCCCCCUGGGUCAAAACUGACGCUCAUGCACGAAAGCGUGGGGAGCAAACAGGAUUAGAUACCCUGGUAGUCCACGCCCUAAACGAUGUCUACUAGUUGUCGGGUCUUAAUUGACUUGGUAACGCAGCUAACGCGUGAAGUAGACCGCCUGGGGAGUACGGUCGCAAGAUUAAAACUCAAAGGAAUUGACGGGGACCCGCACAAGCGGUGGAUGAUGUGGAUUAAUUCGAUGCAACGCGAAAAACCUUACCUACCCUUGACAUGGAUGGAAUCCUCGAGAGA